rnacentral:rRNA from 1 species
UACGAAGGGGGCUAGCGUUGCUCGGCAUCACUGGGCGUAAAGCGCACGUAGGCGGAUUGUUAAGUCAGGGGUGAAAUCCUGGAGCUCAACUCCAGAACUGCCUUUGAUACUGGGGAUCUCGAGUCCGGGAGAGGUGAGUGGAACUGCGAGUGUAGAGGUGAAAUUCGUAGAUAUUCGCAAGAACACCAGUGGCGAAGGCGGCUCACUGGCCCGGAACUGACGCUGAGGUGCGAAAGCGUGGGGAGCAAACAGG